rnacentral:tRNA from 1 species
GCCCCUGUGGCUCAGUGGUAGAGCGUUCGCUUGGUACAUAAAACAGGGUUCCAUGAAAAACCUGGUUUUUCAAAGAGCGAGAGGUCACGAGUUCAAUUCUCGUCAGGGGCU